CCCAAGAGAUCGGGAUAACACCUGGAAACAGAUGCUAAUACCGGAUAACAACAGAUGAUGCCUAUCAACUGUUUAAAAGAUGGCUCUGCUAUCACUCUUGGAUGGACCUGCGGUGCAUUAGCUAGUUGGUAGGGUAACGGCCUACCAAGGCGAUGAUGCAUAGCCGAGUUGAGAGACUGAUCGGCCACAUUGGGACUGAGACACGGCCCAAACUCCUACGGGAGGCAGCAGAC
rnacentral:rRNA from 1 species